AGAGUUUGAUCAUGGCUCAGGAUGAACGCUAGCUACAGGCUUAACACAUGCAAGUCGAGGGGAAACGAUAUUGGAAGCUUGCUUCCGAUAGGCGUCGACCGGCGCACGGGUGAGUAACGCGUAUCCAACCUGCCCACCACUUGGGGAUAACCUUGCGAAAGUAAGACUAAUACCCAAUGAUAUCUCUAGAAGACAUCUGAAAGAGAUUAAAGAUUUAUUGGUGAUGGAUGGGGAUGCGUCUGAUUAGCUUGUUGACGGGGUAACGCCACAAGGCGACGAUCAGUAGGGGUUCUGAGAGGAAGGUCCCCCACAUUGGAACUGAGACACGGUCCAAACUCCUACGGGAGCA
rnacentral:rRNA from 1 species